rnacentral:rRNA from 1 species
AGGGAAUAUUGGACAAUGGGGGCAACCCUGAUCCAGCCAUGCCGCGUGAGUGAAGAAGGCCCUCGGGUUGUAAAGCUCUUUUGUCCGGAAAGAAAAGCUUCGGGUUAAUACCCCGGGGUUCUGACGGUACCGGAAGAAUAAGCACCGGCUAACUUCGUGCCAGCAGCCGCGGUAAUACGAAGGGUGCAAGCGUUACUCGGAAUUACUGGGCGUAGAGCGUGCGUAGGUGGUUGUUUAAGUCUGAUGUGAAAGCCCUGGGCUCAACCUGGGAAUGGCAUUGGAAACUGGGCAGCUAGAGUGCGGUAGAGGGUAGUGGAAUUCCCGGUGUAGCAGUGAAAUGCGUAGAGAUCUGGAGGAACAUCUGUGGCGAAGGCGACUGCCUGGACCAGCACUGACACUGAGGCACGAAAGCGUGGGGAGCAAACA